UGUGAGUUGGCUAUCUACCUUGUGGGGAUUGGAGAAAUUGUCUGGGUUAAGUGAGCCCAUUGGACAGAAUACUAAAGGGGGCCUUCUCUUCAAAGAAGACCUGAGAGAAUGCAGAGAGGAGAGGAGGGUCAAGGAAGCUAUGAAGAAACCCUCAGUUCAUUAAGUUCUCCCAUCACCCUCUAUAGAAGGAACAAGAGAAGAAGAUCAGAG